rnacentral:lncRNA from 1 species
UUACAACUUUUAUUUUUGAAGGUAGAUACAGAAUUUCGACUAUCCAUGUGAAAUGACCAGAUCAGAUAUAGGUAAUGGCAAUUUACUUAGGCACAUUUUCAGCUUGCCAAACCAUGGCAUGAUAUAUGACUACGGUUGUACAAACCAUAGUGGUCCUAUCAGAUAUUCUAUGGUCACGACAGUUGUGAUAUCCUAAGUGUUAAUUAAGGUAAAUGGGU